rnacentral:rRNA from 1 species
GCUUACAGCCAUACCAUCCUGGGAAUGCCUGAUUGUGGAAACUAAGGAGGAUUGGGCCCAGUUAGUGCAUGUAUAGGAGACUGCCUGGGAAUACAGGGAGCUGUAGGCU